ACUGCUUAUUUACAAUAUCGUCGUGGUGAUUUAGCUACUUAUUAAUGAUUACUUUUUAAUUUUCUUCUUUAGAACUAUGAAUAAGUCGUUAGCAGGGGGCAAAUUUGCCCCUCGGGAUUGGCUCCGCCAAUAUAUGUGUCAACAUUAGCGUAUUACAACGAGUCCCUUUGGCCCAAGUUUCUGUUGGUAACAAAGGGUUAAGCUACGAAGGUAAAACAAAGCCUUCUCGUACCAUGGGUACGUUGUGACAUAAUAACCGUGCCUUUAUAAAUUUAUCGAUUGUAUGGGAACCUUAAACAAUGAGGUCGAAGCCCGAAGCUAGAAGAAUAGAUCCUAUUAGGGAUUCGCAGAGCCAACAAGUGUACGCAUUACUAUAUACUAUAUACUAUAUACUAUAUACUAUAUACUAUAUACUAUAUACUAUAUACUAUAUACUAUAUACUAUAUACUAUAUACUAUAUACUAUAUACUAUAUACUAUAUACUAUAUACUAUAAAGAUACUAUAAAGGUCAAAACUAUAAAGGUCAAAACUAUAAAGGUCAAAGCUCUUACGUAGUUAGACUACAACAAACAUAAGUAAACAAACGUAGUUUAGACUAACUAGACUUGCUAUUACUAAACUACAAGGCUCUUAGCCUAACCUUAUGUCGUAAAAACCAUUCCCCUCCCUGGCCGAGUUGUUAUUUUACGGUGUGACGAAAUAAAGGGCCACGGACUACGUGAGGGCUUCAUUUUCUUGAAUCUUAGUUUCCUGGAGGGGAACUUUGUUGUAGUUUCUUACUCCAAUGUAGUUACUAAACUGCAACAAACAUAAGUGUACUUUGGCAGAUCAAUCAUUCGACCUAAAGCUGGAUAGUUUACCGCACUUCCUCACAAAGUAGUUACUGUCUUAUGAACCUUCUAGUCGCAAUCUACGAACCUACGGUGCUCCGUAUCUAGUUGUGCCAACGGCUUUGGUUUGGGCCAGAAGCCCUCACUACAUAAGUGAAAGCCAAGGACCCUUCUUUAUGUUUGUUGUCCCCCUUCGUUCAUCCCCUAAAGGGGAACUAAAGGGGAUGGAACACAACGAACGUAAUUUAAUGAAGGUUAAAGCCUAAGCUACAAGUUUAAUAAGUAGCUUAAACAUAGUCUUAGCAUACGCUCUGGUCUAAGUCCCCUUUUUGUUCCCCAUCCCCUUUG
rnacentral:lncRNA from 1 species